rnacentral:piRNA from 1 species
ACAUUUCAUGAGGUCCGGGCACUGAA